AGAGUUUGAUUCUGGCUCAGGACGAACGCUGGCGGCGUGCCUAACACAUGCAAGUCGAGCGACGAGGUCCUUCGGGACUGAGUAGCGGCGGACGGGUGAGUAACGCGUGAGCAAUCUGCCUUACACAAAGGGAUAGCCUCGGGAAACCGGGAUUAAUACCAUAUGACACUUGGGGAUCGCAUGGUAAUCAAGUCAAAAGAUUUAUCGGUGUAAGAUGAGCUCGCGUCUGAUUAGCUAGUUGGUGGGGUAAAGGCCUACCAAGGCGACGAUCAGUAGCCGGCCUGAGAGGGUGAACGGCCACACUGGAACUGAGACACGGUCCAGACUCCUACGGGAGGCAGCAGGUGGGGAAUAUUGCACAAUGGGCGCAAGCCCUGAUGCAGCGACGCCGCGUGAGCGAAGUAAGGUUUUCGGAUACGUAAAGCUCUGUCCGUUUGGGAAGAAAGAAAAUGACGGUACCAAAGGAGGAACGCCCCGGCUAACUACGUGCCAGCCGCUGC
rnacentral:rRNA from 1 species